GGAUGAACGCUAGCUACAGGCUUAACACAUGCAAGUCGAGGGGCAUCAGGAAGAAAGCUUGCUUUCUUUGCUGGCGACCGGCGCACGGGUGAGUAACACGUAUCCAACCUGCCCUUUACUCGGGGAUAGCCUUUCGAAAGAAAGAUUAAUACCCGAUAGUAUAAUGAUUCCGCAUGGUUUCAUUAUUAAAGGAUUCCGGUAAAGGAUGGGGAUGCGUUCCAUUAGGUUGUUGGUGAGGUAACGGCCCACCAAGCCUUCGAUGGAUAGGGGUUCUGAGAGGAAGGUCCCCCACAUUGGAACUGAGACACGGUCCAAACUCCUACGGGAGGCAGCAGUGAGGAAUAUUGGUCAAUGGGCGCUAGCCUGAACCAGCCAAGUAGCGUGAAGGAUGAAGGCUCUAUGGGUCGUAAACUUCUUUUAUAUAAGAAUAAAGUGCAGUAUGUAUACUGUUUUGUAUGUAUUAUAUGAAUAAGGAUCGGCUAACUCCGUGCCAGCAGCCGCGGUAAUACGGAGGAUCCGAGCGUUAUCCGGAUUUAUUGGGUUUAAAGGGAGCGUAGGUGGACUGGUAAGUCAGUUGUGAAAGUUUGCGGCUCAACCGUAAAAUUGCAGUUGAUACUGUCAGUCUUGAGUACAGUAGAGGUGGGCGGAAUUCGUGGUGUAGCGGUGAAAUGCUUAGAUAUCACGAAGAACUCCGAUUGCGAAGGCAGCUCACUGGACUGCAACUGACACUGAUGCUCGAAAGUGUGGGUAUCAAACAGGAUUAGAUACCCUGGUAGUCCACACAGUAAACGAUGAAUACUCGCUGUUUGCGAUAUACAGUAAGCGGCCAAGCGAAAGCAUUAAGUAUUCCACCUGGGGAGUACGCCGGCAACGGUGAAACUCAAAGGAAUUGACGGGGGCCCGCACAAGCGGAGGAACAUGUGGUUUAAUUCGAUGAUACGCGAGGAACCUUACCCGGGCUUAAAUUGCAGUGGAAUGAUGUGGAAACAUGUCAGUGAGCAAUCACCGCUGUGAAGGUGCUGCAUGGUUGUCGUCAGCUCGUGCCGUGAGGUGUCGGCUUAAGUGCCAUAACGAGCGCAACCCUUAUCUUCAGUUACUAACAGGUCAUGCUGAGGACUCUGGAGAGACUGCCGUCGUAAGAUGUGAGGAAGGUGGGGAUGACGUCAAAUCAGCACGGCCCUUACGUCCGGGGCUACACACGUGUUACAAUGGGGGGUACAGAAGGCAGCUAGCGGGUGACCGUAUGCUAAUCCCAAAAGCCUCUCUCAGUUCGGAUCGAAGUCUGCAACCCGACUUCGUGAAGCUGGAUUCGCUAGUAAUCGCGCAUCAGCCACGGCGCGGUGAAUACGUUCCCGGGCCUUGUACACACCGCCCGUCAAGCCAUGGGAGCCGGGGGUACCUGAAGUACGUAACCGCAAGGAUCGUCCUAGGGUAAAACUGGUG
rnacentral:rRNA from 1 species